GUUUGAUCAUGGCUCAGGAUGAACGCUGGCGGUAUGCUUAACACAUGCAAGUCGAACGGAAACCUUCGGGUUUUAGUGGCGGACGGGUGAGUAACGCGUGAGAAACCGCCCCUUGGUUCGGGACAACAGCUGGAAACGGCUGCUAAUACCGAAUGUGGCGAAAGCUGAAAGAUUUAUCGCCAAGGGAAGUGCUCGCGUCUGAUUAGCUAGUAGGUUGGGUAAUGGCCGACCUAGGCGACGAUCAGUAGCUGGUCUGAGAGGAUGAUCAGCCACACUGGGACUGAGACACGGCCCAGACUCCUACGGGAGGCAGCAGUGGGGAAUUUUCCGCAAUGGGCGCAAGCCUGACGGAGCAAUACCGCGUGAGGGAUGAAGGCUCUUGGGUCGUAAACCUCUUUUCUCAGGGAAGAAUACUGACGGUACCUGAGGAAUAAGCAUCGGCUAACUCCGUGCCAGCAGCCGCGGUAAUACGGAGGAUGCAAGCGUUAUCCGGAAUUAUUGGGCGUAAAGCGUCCGCAGGUGGUUUUUCAAGUCUGUUUUCAAAGAGCGAGGCUCAACCCUUGUAAAGGGGAUGGAAACUGAAAGACUAGAGUUCGGGG
rnacentral:rRNA from 1 species